rnacentral:lncRNA from 1 species
UGGGCACUUAAAGCAACCAUUUAUUGUAGAAUGAGUAAUGAAGGAAAAGGGUUCAAUAGCUAUCAUCAACUAGUAAGAUUGUGGACUUGGCCCUGCUGGGAUAAAUCAUGGUGAAUGCAUCAGAAAUGCUAAUCGCGUGGGCUGUCUGGAGUUUUUCCCAUGGGUUACAAGAUAUAAAAAAAAAAUCCUGCAGCAGAGUUUAAUUUUCAGGAGACAGAAUAAUUUCUAAAUUCAUGGAGGAGAAAGAGACCUUAAUGAAAUUCUAACACACCUAUCUCUUCAUUGUCCACACCUGACACAACUGGUAAAUAUUAUAUUUUGUACUGAUUGAAUAGAUAAUAAUUUUCUCAUCUAAAUAUCUAUUCUUCUGAAAAUGUUGCAGUUGUUUAAUUUGUCAGAUUAGUAAAAUGCUCCUGUCCAAAUUUUUCUGCCUUAACUCCAAAUUUGAUCCAUAUGAUUAUUUACCAGUGUGACCU